rnacentral:lncRNA from 1 species
CGCCACUUCCGGGUUGGCCGUCUCCAUGUUGAGUGGGGCUGCGCGAGGGGCGGGGCCGGGCGGGGUUGGGGGUCAGCGCCUCCCUGGUUGCCUUGACGACGGGGCGCGCGGUGCGGGACGCGGAGGCUGGGAUGCGCGCGCUGGACGAUGGAGAUGGAGACGCUAA